rnacentral:lncRNA from 1 species
GUUUGGUUUGCCAUCACUUUUUGUGACUUUUCUGACAUCUGCAAGUGUCGGAAGUGUGACCUGAAACAUUUAAGGACACUUCUGCCUGAACCAUGGGCAGAUGUUUAGACUCCAAGAUACAGAGGAGGAGGGUCUUGGAGGUUUCUUAGUAUAAGUUCCUCCCUGUGGUACUUGCAGUUCCUACAAGGGGCUGUCAGAGAAACAAGCCGGAGCAGAAGAGCAAGACAUGGUCCUGGUGCAUGAAAGGAGCCUAAGAAAGAAGAGUGAAAGCUGCACGUGUGUGAGUAUCUAGCAGAACAUCUAGAAAAUGCACACCAACCUCCAGCAGCAGAAAACAGUCUACCUCCAGAAAGCCAUAAAAGAGAAAAGAAUGUUGUACCAAACUAAGCAAAUGAAGCAUGAAAUGAAAAGCCGGUUGAGCUGGGAGGUAUAAAGAAUGGAAAGGAAGCAGCUACCACCCCUGGUAACCCCAUCAAUCCGGAGAAGCUUCGCAGAGUUACACUGUGCUCUGUCGGAGGAAGUCUAAAAUAACACAUGGGUGUCUCGGCCUUGGCACAGCUAAACCCUGGAACAUUGAACUGAAGUCAUAACAAUGGAGCAUCCUGGCAGGCAUCCACUGUGCCAUAUGCUUUCGGGAAGUCUGGAUGCUGAAUGUGGUGGCUGUGGGGAAUUGAGCCUUAUUGCUUCAUAAGAUUCCUGGUGGUAGAACUAUUCUGAACAAGAACACGUCCGUCCCCAUAGGUGUGCUCCAAGAAUCACAGAAUAAGAAGGGACUUCGGAGAGAGCCUCACACAGUUGGGCAAUGGGAGCCCAGAGAGGCAAGGAAGGCUCCUUGCCCAAAGUCUUGUACAUCUGAAUCUGCAACUCCUGACUAUUUUUGAGUCUUAUGCUCCAGGCUAAAACUUGUGACUUUAAGUGUGAUGUUCUCGGUGAUGAUUAAUCUAGGAUGUUUCUGUUGUUUUCUUACCGUCAAAGAAUUAACAUCAAAAGGAAAGGAAGGAAGAAAUGUAGAAGUGAAGGCAAGAAGGAAGGAAGGAGGAAAGGAAGGAAGGAAAAUAUAGGCUUUGGGUAAAAAUAAGUUUCUACUCAACACUGACAAAGGUACAGGUUUUGGACAUUGGUUUCCUAAUCUGUAAAUGAGGAAUAGUCAUCACAUCGCUGUCCUGGCUGGUUUUGUGUGUCAACUUGACACAAGCUGGAGUUAUCACAGAGAAAGGAAAGAAAAUGCCUCCAUGAGAUCUAGCUGUAAAUGGAUUAGUGAUCAAGAGUGGGAGGGCCCAGUGUGGGUGGUGCCAUCCCUGGACUGGUGGUCCUGGGUUCUACAAGAAAACAAGCUGAGCAAGCCAGGGGAAGCAAGCCAGGGGAACAUCCCUCCACGGCUCUGCAUCAGCUCCUGCUUCCUGCCCUGUGUGAGUUCCAGUCCUGACUUCCUUUGGUGACGAACAGCAAUGUGAUAGUAUAAGCUGAAUAAACCCUUUCCUCCCCAAC